AGUGAACGCUGGCGGUAGGCCUAACACAUGCAAGUCGAACGGCAGCACAGUAAGAGCUGGCUCUUACGGGUGACGAGUGGCGGACGGGUGAGGAAUACAUCGGAAUCUACUUUUUCGUGGGGGAUAACGUAGGGAAACUUACGCUAAUACCGCAUACGACCUACGGGUGAAAGCAGGGGAUCUUCGGACCUUGCGCGAUUGAAUGAGCCGAUGUCGGAUUAGCUAGUUGGCGGGGUAAAGGCCCACCAAGGCGACGAUCCGUAGCUGGUCUGAGAGGAUGAUCAGCCACACUGGAACUGAGACACGGUCCAGACUCCUACGGGAGGCAGCAGUGGGGAAUAUUGGACAAUGGGCGCAAGCCUGAUCCAGCCAUACCGCGUGGGUGAAGAAGGCCUUCGGGUUGUAAAGCCCUUUUGUUGGGAAAGAAAAGCAGCAGGUUAAUACCCCGCUGUUCUGACGGUACCCAAAGAAUAAGCACCGGCUAACUUCGUG
rnacentral:rRNA from 1 species